UGCCAGACUUGUCCGCGAUUGAUACGGC
rnacentral:sRNA from 1 species